UACGGAGGGGGGCUAGCGUUGUUCGGAAUUACUGGGCGUAAAGCGCACGUAGGCGGAUCGUUAAGUCGGGGGUGAAAUCCUGGAGCUCAACUCCAGAACUGCCUUCGAUACUGGCGAUCUUGAGUCCGGAAGAGGUGAGUGGAACUCCUAGUGUAGAGGUGGAAUUCGUAGAUAUUAGGAAGAACACCAGUGGCGAAAGCGGCUCACUGGUCCGGUACUGACGCUGAGGUGCGAAAGCGUGGGGAGCAAACAGGG
rnacentral:rRNA from 1 species